rnacentral:rRNA from 1 species
UACAGAGGCCCCAAGCGUUAGUCGGAAUCACUGGGCUUAAAGGGUGCGUAGGCGGGUCAGUAAGUGUCUUGUGAAAGCCCACGGCUCAACCGUGGAACCGCAGGGCAUACUGCUGAUCUUGAGGAAGGUAGAGGCCGGUGGAACGAUAGGUGGAGCGGUGGAAUGCGUAGAGAUCUAUCGGAACGCCAAUGGUGAAGACAGCCGGCUGGGCCUUUCCUGACGCUGAGGCACGAAAGCGUGGGGAGCAAACAGG